rnacentral:rRNA from 1 species
CAGUCGCCGCGGUAAUACGUAGGUGGCAAGCGUUGUCCGGAUUUAUUGGGCGUAAAGCGAGCGCAGGCGGUUUCUUAAGUCUGAUGUGAAAGCCCCCGGCUCAACCGGGGAGGGUCAUUGGAAACUGGGAGACUUGAGUGCAGAAGAGGAGAGUGGAAUUCCAUGUGUAGCGGUGAAAUGCGUAGAUAUAUGGAGGAACACCUGUGGCGAAGGCGGCUCUCUGGUCUGUAACUGACGCUGAGGCUCGAAAGCGUGGGGAUCGAACAGGAUUAGAUACCCCAGUAGUCCCUGUCUCUUAUAC